rnacentral:misc_RNA from 1 species
GAUGAAGAACGGUAGCGAAAUGCGAUACGUAAUGUGAAUUGCAGAAUUCAGUGAAUCAUCGAAUCUUUGAACGCAUAUUGCGCUCUCUGGUAUUCCGGAGAGCAUGCUUGUUUGAGUAUCAGUAAACACCUCAACUCCCUUUUCUUUUUUGAAAUGGGAGCUGGACUUGAGUGAUCCCAACACUUUUCUCACUGGAAAGUGGCGGGUCACUUGAAAUGCAGGUGCAGCUGGACUUUUCUCUGAGCUAUAAGCAUAUCUAUUUAGUCUGCCUAAAAAACAGAUUAUUACCUUUGCUACAGCUAACAUAAAGGAGAUGAGUUCUUGUGCUGACUGAUGCAGGAUUCACAGAGACAGCUUUGCGGCUGACUUUGUAAACUCGAUCUCAAAUCAAGUAAGACUACCCGCUGAACUUAAGCAUAUCAAUAAGCGGAGGA